AUUUUUGGCUUUUCUGUAUUGGUGUGCGGGGCUGCUACGUGCUCGGCUUAGAGAAUUAGAAGGGUCCGUCUCUUUUUGCCCACUGGAGUCUGGCACUUGGGGCACUGCCUCCCUGUUGGUGGUGGUGGUGAUGGAGCUGUAGGAGGGAGGCUAGCAGUGGGAGCUUCUCCUGCUGGGCUGGAAGACAAGCAGAAGGAAGAGGCACCACCGCAUGCUGGAGGCUGGAGCCACGGCGGCUUGCCUCGCUGCGGUUGGUGGUGACAUCGGAGACCGCAGCUACGAGCUAAAGCAAGCUCAGUACUACUGGUGAUUUGGAAAGUGCCUUCAUAUUGUUUUUGCCAGUUCUCACCUGAGAACCCUGCAGAUGCCCCAUGAGAGGCUGUGCCCUUUACAAGGAGUCUCCAGUGAUACAGCUGAUUUUCCUCCAUACUCUAAUCCCCUUCAUGGCUGCAGCAUCAACAGAUUGCUCUCUUGAAUCUGACCCCAGUUGUUUUAUUAAUUAUACCCCUUUUUGUGACACAGGAAGGCUAAGAUGAAGCUGUCUUGGAUGGAAAAGAAUUCGUUCUCCUCACAUGGAAUAAAGAUCUUGAAAAGUAUUUUUUCUAUGUAGGGUCUGUCCGGACAAAGUUCUGGGCAUAUUUAUCAGAGAACAGUUCUCCUGAUAUCAGAGCCAUGAGGGAAUCUGUUUGGAUUCUCAUCUUGAGAACCCAGAAGUUUCUGGAGGGAAAUUUCAUAAAAGUGUGGGGUGCGUGGCCCCCAGGAGUUCUUACCCUACCCUAUCCACACUUGUCUGCUAGGCAUUUAUGGAAUUAUCAUGUAACUGUUUCCACCAGCUUGUGCUUUCAAUGGAAGAAUCACCCAAUUUAUAAAUUUAGAAAAGAAACUUUAUUUCUGAUAAAUGGGUGAAGCUGCAGGAUGGCCAUCUUAACAGGCCGGAAAGCAAAGCCUCCCACAGAGACAGUGAGCAGGCACUUCAAGAGAGGGAAAGGUGAGAAAUGAGUUCAUGCAAAUGGAUUGGCCAAGUGCACAUACUCAGCGGGCUAUAGAAGGAGCUAUGAAUAUUCACAUGGUGGGCAGGCUGUCAUGCAUAAUAAGCAAACACAGAUGUUACAUGCAUUUCAUGUUUGCUUUGGGGCGAGGACUUAAGAACUAAACAAAUUACAGUUGGGCCGUGUACAUCAAAAGGGCUUUGUGCAGAGGCAGAAGGACACACAGUGCACAGCCUCCAUAAUUUGGCAAGGACAAGUCCAUGGUGAGUGGUCUCUUCUCAGGAGAAAGUUACUGAAAUCAGUCCUUCUCCAUUCAAAGCUCUUUUUAUGGCUGUGGAACGGGCACAGUUACCCAGUGUCUUGAGUUCCAUGAGCUGCAAAUAUUUUAAUAUUCUUAUCGUAGGACCAGUGCUUUUUAGCUGCUAGAGAAAAUGAAAAGCCCUGUGGCAGUUACAACAUAGUCUAUUUUUUAAGUGUAGGAGUGAGUGACUUAAUUUUUGCUUGAUGUGGACUUGGGUCUUGUUUAUAAUUUGGUAUCUUAUUGCCACAACAAGAUUGUUCCAUCAGUCUGAUGAUCUCUAUUUUAAUGUCUUUCUAGUUUUUGGGUCUUGGUUUUCCCUGCAAUUUGAUUUCUUAAAUAGAUCCAAGAAGUUAUUGAUAAUCAAUUUUCCAGGCUUUCAUUGUUGUAGGAAUGUAGGGGAUGACUGACAUGCUCUUUACAUAUUAAAGUGGAAAACAGAAGUAGCUUCAGAGAUCACCAUUGACCUGACAAGCAGCAGGAAUCUCAUCUCGUUAAGUGUAAGUGGCACCACAGAUGUAGCUGAACAUGCAGUGACACAGAAGACCCACACCACAGAACACAUGAAAAAUUUUAUGAUUCUGAGGUUUUCUCCAGGAAGCUGGAACUCAGGUGGUACUACAGAGAUGGACUCAGUUAUCUCUCAGGUGAUACUAUGUUUUGGAAGCUUAUUUCCACUCCUGCACUGGACUCAUUAGCUGCACCUCGACCAGCACACCUAAAACAGAAACUCUCAAUAAUUAAGCACAAAACUCACCAAUAAUAAAGCUGUCCCCAGAGAAGGUGCAGAGCAGGGAACUCUGCUUUUGGGAACAUGCUGGUGUGCAGGGAGUGUCAGGAGCGUGACCCAUUUCCUUCUGCUCCCCCUGCUGGCUUCACAGACAACUGCAUCCAGGAGCUUUAUGUUGCAAAGUAUAUAAAAUAUGUUAUAAUUGUAGAGAAAUGUAAUACACAGAUUAAGGAAUGAGGAACGUACAUGAAAUUAAACAUAAUAUUAUCACGGAUAAGACAACAAACAAAUAUUAAAAACCUGUGUGUGUACGUGUUUGAGAUAGUAUUCUUGUAAAUUAAAUCAUAAUUUGUUUAUAAAGUCCUUCAACUAUGUACAAAAUCUUUGCCUUUGAUUGCCACAAAGAUGAAGAAGGAUGUGGCACCAGGACUCCAGGGCCAUGCUAGUGAUUUCCCCUCCUAUCUCCUGAGGACACGGUGCUUCCAACUCUGAGGAUCAGGAUGCUGAAAUUGGCUGUGUGAGAAGAGAAAAUGGGAUUUUCUGUGGGAACAGACUAGUGUGAAUGUAACUUUCAAGCAAGUAAGUUUAUUCUACCAUGAGACACACAGCUAUCAUGCUGACUGUGUGUUGCUUUUGACAUUAAUAUGAUAUUAUCAGUAUUGGGUUGUUCCAUGGAAAAUGACCAAUUGUCUCAGAAUUAACUGGAGUCGUUUUCAUUUCAGUUUUUUCACACUUCUAGCUAAAUCACCUAAUUUUACUGUGUUUGAGCUUGGAAAGUUUCAGGGCGUGGGUUACAAAUGAUGGAGUGGAAGGUCUCCCAAGAGUUAGAUGUGGUUCUGCUAAAGGAUGACCCAGGAUUUGUCCAGAAGCUCCCCUCCUUGUCUGUCCCAGCACUUGCUCCUCAGUGCGCCCCAUCCUGCCAGAGUGCUGAGCUUCUCUGCGUUCCUGGACAAUGCACGUCUGGGGCAUCUGCUUCCUAGAUGUGCAUACAUAGGGCGGGCUGCUCUUCAUAAUGGUUGAGAGGGAGCUGGGCCUGGAUCCACCCAGGUGGCCCUACCACUGUGAACUGGGCUUCCUCCCAGCAAGGAGACAAGGUCAGUUGAGUGCCUUCACUUCAGACAACUACUAGGAGGUGAUUUUAGUCAAAUUGUCACAUCCUUUGUCUAUGUAAUCCAGCAAUCAUGCUUUUAAGUGUUUAUCUGACUGCAAAAGUAAGUCCACAAAGAAAACUGCACAUGAGUAAUUGCAAUAGCUUCAUUUACAUUUUCCCAAAACUAUAAACAUUCAGAAAGUUUUUCUGUAGGUGAAAACCAAACUGUGAUAAAUUCAUAUAAUGGAAUUAUAUAGCAAUGAUAAAGAAGUGCUAGCAAACCAUGAAAACACAUGAAUAAAUCUUAAAUGCAUAUUGUCAAGUAAAAUAGUCUGAUAAAGCUAUACAAUAUAUAAUUUAAUUUAUUUGAUCUGGAGAAGGCCAAACUUUAAACAAAGUGAAAAAAAUUAUAUUUGCCGGCAAUUUGGGGAGAAGGUGAGAAUAGAUUAAAAAAUAGAAGACUUUAAAGGAUGAUGAAACUAUUAUGUAUAAUAUUGCAAUGGUAGAUAUAUGAUGUCAUAAAUUUGUCAAAAUCCACAGACUAUACAGCAUGAAGGCUAGAUUUUACUUUACAAAAAAUAAAAGAUUAGGGACCCCAAGAUGGAAUGCAGAUCGUACAGAAAAUAUCUGAUGUCCUUAUUAAUGCAUGAAACAACUUUGUCGAAUAAAGUAUGUGAAAAAGGCUGCUAAAUCACUUUAGAAAUAGUGACACCAAUAAGACUAAAAAAUAAACCAUGUCAGCACUGUCCUCUAGUUGAUGAUGAUGUUCCACAAGGAGCACAGCUUACCAAUUGUGAUUCCACGCUACAAGAAUCCUAGAAUUGGACAACACGGGGUAUAGAUGGUGUGUGGUGGGAGGGGGUUCCUCACACUUGGAGUGGGAGGUUACAGACAGCAAGGAAGAACGGUGAGAAAUGUCCAUGUAGUACUGGAUUAGAGUGAAAGUGCUAGUAAUUUUGUAUGAUUGACAUAAUCUGCAUGCAAUAAAUUAAACGAAAAUACUUCUUUGAAGAAAGUGCAAAAUAGGCUAUGACCUAAAUAACUUUGGAAAUGAGGGAAUUCUGAAAGUCUAAAGUGUAAGUAAACUGCACGUAAUCACUGUACUCUAGUGGAUAAACAUGUUUCCGGCAGAGGUACAGCUUCACAAUUUUGAUUCCGCUAUGCACGUUUCCUGAAAUUGUGCUGCUAAGUAAUACUAUGGAAUAUGGUGGGAUGGAGUUCCUCAUUUGGCAAUGGGUGGUGAUUGACAGGCAAGGCAGGCAGGCUAGAAAUGUCCAUGUGGUAUUGUAAUUGGGUGGAGACAAGAAUGUGUUCUCAUUUUUAAUGUGUUACAGGUACGGAAGACUAGAUAUGUAAAUAGUCGAGAUGUAUCUCUAAACGUGGGUUAAUAAACACCUGCACAUUUUCUAAGCCAUUUAGUUGAGAGGUCCUUGAGGCACUUACAUCCCACUAACAGUAUAUACACCCAACUUCACAAUUCUCUAUUUUAAUACCAUUCUUCAACACCAGAAGCCAGUAAUCUUCAGAAAAACAGCAGAUUCUAUGUAUGGAAAAGAUAAUACGGAAAAUAAGCUUAGGAUUUCUUAUAAUACCAGAAAAUAGGGAAGUGUUCAAAAACAAAAGGAGGAGAUGUCAUGUAAGGAUACAGGAUCCAAAUUAAAUGAACUCCAAGCACAUAAAAAAAACUGUGAUGAUUUGAGCAAAAGCAUAAAUAAUGAAGCAUGGAUCUUCCUCAUAGUAUAAAAUAAGCAUCUUUAAGCCAAUACUAUUAUAAUAGAUGAGUAAAUAAAAUGUGAAAAGAAGGACGAAUCUUCCUUACAGAGUUAUUCAAAAUAUUUUAGGCUGAUAGUAUUCUCAUCAUGUAGGUGAGGUUUAAACACUCGUGUUGAUUGUGGUCUGAGAUUAUAGAGAUGGGAAAAAAAAUCACUGCUAGUUUAUUUUAUAACCAGUUUUUAGAAAUAAUGCCAAAAACAUGGUCUGUGAGUGAAUACAAUUAUUCAUGGUAAUGUAUCCAAAUUUGCAAACACACAUUUUUCUGCAAUAAACACUGAUAAGCAACUAAAAAGACAAAUCACAGACUUGGAGAAAAUAUUUUCAAGUAGCAUUUUUGUUAAAUAAUUUCUUUUAAUUCAGUAAAGAAUUAAAAGAAUUGAUUUCUAUAAUGAAUAUGCAAGUAAACUCAACAACAUUAUAUAAAAAUUGUUAAAUAUAAAUUUUUCAUUAGGGAUAUGAGCAUUGAAACAAAAAUUAGAUUCCAUUGCUCACCUAUUAGAAUGGUUAAAAUGCACAAUCCUCAUGGUGAAAAAUGGCCGUAAGAAUGUGAAAAAACAAGAACUAAUUUGCAUUUAUGUUGGGAAUCCCAAAUGGUGCAUGCACAAAAUGAAAUACAUUUUGACUUUUUUUUUAACAGAGAUAAAAGAGUUGAAAUAUGAUCUAGUGGCUGUGUUUCAAAAUAUUUAAAACACUGAUUCAGAAAUUGAUGUUUACACAGGAAACCAGCUUCUGCUCUCUGACAUAUAUCACCUGGUUUGUGCCAAGAGCAUUAACCCUGGGAGCUCCUCCCAAAAAAAUGGUUGUGCACAGGGGAGAUGUUAAGCUAUGGCUGCUCCUGGGACUCAUCGGAGAUUCCUGAUGGGCAUCUGUAAUCAGGAAGUCAUCAACAGCCUUGCCGGACUUAACUUGCUCCACAGGUUAACUAGGAAGCACCACCAAACUCCCACAUUUCCCCAUCACUAGUUGUAAGACUGGCAUCCUGGCCUGACAGUGUCUACAGCCUCACCCAGCCUCCUGUGUGUUUUUCUGCCUGCCUUACUUACAUCUCACUUUGGGACAAAUAAGAAAUUUUUUAAAUAAACUUUUCUAAUCUAGAGACCUCAGUGGUAGGCACAGAAACACAAAUAUAGAGAGGCUCCCAGGGAAACUGUUCGAUGGAGAGGAAGCCACAGACCCUGAAGGAAAGCGGCCCUUGACCUUCAACUGCACCUGCCCUGGGGAUGCCCCUAACUUCUGUGGGAGUGAGUGCCCUCUGCAGCCCAGGCUCCUUCCUUCUCUCUGCAGGAUAUUUUGCGUUUUGGCUGACACUGGUGUUCCCUCACUUGGUACCUUAUGUACAAUAAUACGAGGCCAUGUUCUCAGCUCUGACUGUUCAUUCACAGGUACAGUGAGUUCUUGGCAUUGUCUUUGGAAAUGGUGAAUCUGUCCUUCACAGAUUUUGAAUGGUAUAACUGAUUCAUCAUACUUCGUAUUUACUGCUCACUCCAGCACCUUCUCUGAAGCCUGGUGGACUCAGCUAAUUCAGUAGCUUCUCAUUCAGUAGCUACUAAAUUUGAAUCCACGGGCUGCACAGAAGACUCUCAAAACCCUCAGGCUGUCUCAGGCCUUCUCCAGACUCCACCAGCUGAACCUCACUUGACACCUUCACAUACAUAGGCAUGGUUAGAAACUGCCAAAUGUAUCCACUGUUCCUCUCACUCACAUCCACUUAUACUCACUAUCUCUAAUUCUCCAUGAAUAAGCUUUUAAAAUAGCAACAAGAAAAAUCUAGUAUAGCUUAAAGCCCAUACUGAAUCUUGUGUUCAGUACUGAUUACCAAGUGGAAACACCUGGAAAUCCCAGGGCUGGUACUCCUCUCCCAGAGAUGCAGGACCAGAACUGGGCUGUUUUUUAUCAGUAGAAGGAGAACCCAAUUGGAAUGUCUCCUACUACAUAGCAAGCUCUAAGGUGGGAUGCCUUAGGAUAGGACAGGGCCCAGAGCAGAUGUGAGACUCCUGGAGUUUAGUGGCAACAAAAGAGUUUAGAGAAGCAUAAUUACUUAAUAUGUGAUUGUGCCAUGAAAAUCACUUAGCAAUAUAUUUUACAUCUUUUUAACAUUUUUAAAAAUAUAUCUGCAUUAAGCAAACUUUAAGAGAUAUAAAGGGUGAAAUAGAAAAAAAUACAAUAAUGGAAAAAUAUCUUAAUAUCUCACAGACCCCCACAGUAUCUUAGCAGAAAUCGGAGGCAGUGGAGGUCACCCCACUUGAAUGAGAAAACAGCUGAGUUUGUAAAACUGCACUUGGCUUCUCCACAGGCUUUGAGGUGUGCAGGACCAGCCACUACCCCAGACUCAGGCAUAGCCCCAGUCUCUGCUCUUCAAUUUACACAACUAUACAGGUUAAUAAUAUAUUUCAGAACUUCAUAAUCACACAUACACAUACACAUACACACAUAUGCCCAGUACUUACAGGUACAUAGGGAAAUACAAAAAUGAACACAUCAAAUACCAAAACAAAACCUGAAUUUAUUUACUACUGUUAUAGUUAUUGAAUUUAAUUGAAAUUAUUUUGUUUUACACUAUGAUGUAGUGCAAAAUAAUGUUUUUCUAUGUGAUUGUUUCUCUAUCCCAAUGCCAAUAAACAAAUAUAUCUAAAUGCAUGUUUUGGUAAAACUAAAUGUAAAUGCCAUUCUUGCCAAAUACAUUAAUUAAAUGUACAUAGUAUUUAUGCAUAAA